GCAGCCGCGGUAAUACGUAGGGGGCAAGCGUUAUCCGGAAUUAUUGGGCGUAAAGAGUGCGUAGGUGGUUACUUAAGCGCGGGGUGAAAGGCAAUGGCUCAACCAUUGUUAGCCCUGCGAACUGGGUUACUUGAGUGCAGGAGAGGAAAGCGGAAUUCCUAGUGUAGCGGUGAAAUGCGUAGAUAUUAGGAGGAACACCAGUGGCGAAGGCGGCUUUCUGGACUGUUACUGACACUGAGGCACGAAAGUGUGGGGAGCAAACAGGAUUAGAUACCCC
rnacentral:rRNA from 1 species